UGCUCUGAGCCCAGCUCUCUGCUCCCUGCCCCAGCCACCCCUUGGGACUUCACCCCUCUCUUUUCCAGCAUCCCAGGAGGGUUUAUCCAUGUAGAUGACAGGGAGCAGGGUCGGCUGGGGACGGGCCAAGCCCUGGGGACAUCUGUCUGCAAACACAUGGGAGCAGAGAGGGGAAGGAGAGCCCAUGGGAGAGGUUUCUGGCCCCGACAUGGGGAAUCUCACAGGGACCUUUGAGAUAUGGAACAGCUUGCGGCUCCUCGCAGGGAGAUUUGCAGUUGAAAGGUCAAAGCUGUUUCUGGUUCUCCUUAUCAGCAUUGGCCGAGCAAGAAGGAAACCUUUCACCAUCUGGGUCGGGUAGGGGAGGUCAUGCCGGGGACAGAGCACCGGGGCACCAGGGAUCCGGAGAUGAGACGCCGAUGGCAGAAGGUGGGAAGAAACCCGAGAGACAGGAAUUAUGCCCUAUCUCCACCCUACAGCAAGGCCACGGAGGGGAAGGUUACCCUUUCCACCACCCUGGCAGGACCCGUGGUCCUAUCCGCUGGAGAACUAGAGGCAGUGGGACACAGUGGUUUGGGGGAUACCAUUGCCCAAAGGGGAUUUGGUUGACCCCACUGGUGGCCACUCAGCUCCCUGGACCUGUUCCAUGACCCUCCCAGCGCUGCUGGGUUUGGUUUGGCUUGCGCCAUUGACAUACGUGAAGACCCAUGUUGGGUUUAGGUGCUGGGACCCCUCCAGAACUCCGCAGAGACGUGGUGGUGGCUGGGCACAAAACCCCCCAGAAAAGCCAAGAAGCAGUGUUUGCUUUACAAGACCCAGAUCUCCUGAGCCUAAACAGGGUCCUGACCCUGAUAGACAAGUUCCUCCACAGCCAAGCAACAUGAUGUGUGUCCAACCCAACUCCUUGGUCUUCAGCCCAAACAGCCAAUUGCUAGAAGUAUCUCCCAACAACAGCAAAGCUUAAAUGCUGCUGGUCUCAGCUCUUACCCAACCCUGCCUUGUUCUUUGCCUUCAUCCCCCUCUUUCCACUGAUCCAUCCAUCCAUGCAUCCAUCCAUCCUGGACCCUAGCACCACAGUGCCCAUCCAACCAGUGCUCUGAGCUGUUGGGCACUUUGAUCUCCCCUUUCCCUGCUCCUGCCUGCCUCCCUUCCCCGCUCCUUCCUGUUUCCCACACGAGCUGGUCCUCACACACCUUAAAUCAGCCAACCCAGCCAGGCUGGGAGCUGGGGCAGGCGUAACAGAACGGUGGGAAGUUAAGAAGCCUUGACAGCCCAUCUGGUUUUUGCACGACUCCCCCGGUGCUCUCGGCAUUGUCACCUUUCAUUCAUCCUGACAGGUACAGAGAUCACCACCAGCCCGACCUCCUGAAGUCUUGACAUGAACAAUCCCGUUACGGAAAUACAAGAGCUCCUGCUGAUGUGCCUUUGGUGAAAGCAAAACUCUCUGCAAAGCCCUUGGCUGGGAGGAGUGGGAAGCACAUGGUGAGGAGGGAAAAAACACCCCGAGAUGCAUGAAAGAGGCUCCUUGGAGUCAACCUCACCUCCCCGGGCUUCCCCCGGUUGUAAAGACAGCCAAGCAUGAUCAACCCCUCAG